UGCAGUCGAGGGGUAACAUUGGUGCUUGCAUCAGAUGACGACCGGCGCACGGGUGCGUAACGCGUAUAGAAUCUACCUUGUAGUAAGGGAUAGCCCAGAGAAAUUUGGAUUAAUACCUUAUAGUAUCUUAAGUGAGCAUUCACUAAGGAUUAAAGAUUUAUUGCUAUAAGAUGACUAUGCGUUCUAUUAGCUAGUUGGUAUGGUAACGGCAUACCAAGGCUACGAUAGAUAGGGGUCCUGAGAGGGAGAUCCCCCACACUGGUACUGAGACACGGACCAGACUCCUACGGGAGGCAGCAGUGAGGAAUAUUGGACAAUGGAGGCAACUCUGAUCCAGCCAUGCCGCGUGUAGGAAGACUGCCCUAUGGGUUGUAAACUACUUUUAUAGAGGAAGAAACCGCGAUAUGUAUAUCGCUCUGACGGUACUCUACGAAUAAGGAUCGGCUAACUCCGUGCCAGCAGCCGCGGUAAUACGGAGGAUCCAAGCGUUAUCCGGAAUCAUUGGGUUUAAAGGGUCCGUAGGCGGGUUUGUAAGUCAGUGGUGAAAGUUUUCGGCUCAACCGGAAAAUUGCCAUUGAUACUGCAAGUCUUGAAUCAUUAUGAAGUGGUUAGAAUGUGUAGUGUAGCGGUGAAAUGCAUAGAUAUUACACAGAAUACCGAUUGCGAAGGCAGAUCACUAAUAAUGUAUUGACGCUAAGGGACGAAAGCGUGGGUAGCGAACAGGAUUAGAUACCCUGGUAGUCCACGCCGUAAACGAUGGUUACUAGCUGUUCGGACUUCGGUCUGAGUGGCUAAGCGAAAGUGAUAAGUAACCCACCUGGGGAGUACGUUCGCAAGAAUGAAACUCAAGGAAUUGACGGGGGCCCGCACAAGCGGUGGAGCAUGUGGUUU
rnacentral:rRNA from 1 species